CCAUUUGAUCGCCUUGUUUGGUAC
rnacentral:siRNA from 1 species